rnacentral:piRNA from 2 species
UGAAGCCAUCAGGCUAAUGGAGAUGUC